CGGGGGAGGCCGGAUUCUGGGCUGUGUCCCGGCGCCCGGUGCUCCGGAGCCUGCGCUGUUGGAUUUGCCCUCCCGCCCCACAGCCCCCU
rfam:Canis lupus familiaris chromosome 34, whole genome shotgun sequence.